AACCGCGGUCAUACGAUUAACCCAAAUCAAUAACCUUCGGCGUAAAGAGUGUUUAGGACAUUAUACACAAAUAAAGUCAAAUUGCUACUAAGCCGUAAAAAGCACCAGUAUAAAUAAGAUCAACAACGAAAGUGACUUUAGCACAUCCGAACACACGACAGCUAGGGCC
rnacentral:rRNA from 1 species